GAGGCCGCGCCUGGUUCUGGGGCCUCGGAGUGAGCCAGGGGUUUGUUUCCAGAGGCCGCGUCCAGGCAGUUCUCAUCUGUUGUUGUCUGUGCGGAGACUCUAGUCUGCAGUUUCCUUCCUUCCUGCAGUCCCUUAGUUCUGGGCGGGGGUGGUGGGGGGUCUGCUGGUGGCUUUGUGCUGGCUUCUGCGGCGGGACUGCGGGUGGCCCUUGCCGGGGCUCUGUGCCCCGCAUCGGCCCUUCCUUUAGCCCCCGGUCUUGGCCCUGAGCCAUAUGGGCCCUCGAGGAAGUGUGGGGACGUGAGAAGUGGCUCAGGGGAGUGACAGGUGGCACAUUUCCCACAGCGCAUCCCAGUUCUGGAGAGCAGUCUGGCCGCAUCACUGGGCAAGGAUUCUUGUCUGUUUUUUAAAGUACUUCAGCCCACUCCCACUCCUGUGGACCUCAAAAGGUGGAGACAUUGACCACCAGGACAUUGACUUGUCCUGCGCCGCUGAGCUGUGGCGAGAGGUGACCAUGUCCUGAAGUUUCUGUUCUGGCUUGGUCCACUUCCUCCUUUGUUCUCAGGGUUCAGCAUGAAGCUGCGGGACUGAGCCGGCUCCAGGCCUUGUGGGUUCAGGAGAGGAUCUGAAGCCGGCAGGAGAGGGUGCCUGAGUCCCAAGGACAGGCAACUGGGGCAAGGCUGGCCAAGAGCGCUUGGUGCCAGGAUCCGGCGGAGGGGUACUGUCCCACCCGAGUCCAGUCCUGCGGUGUGCCCUGGGAGGGGAGGUCUCCCCCAGUGAGAAAACCUGGAGGCUGGGCCUGCCCCUGCCCCUGCCUCUGUUCUGAGCCCCUCUCGGGGCUGCUCUACAGCCCCUGGCAGUCAUGGCCAUCAGCCCCAGAGUCCCUGUCCCGCGACCCCAGGUCUCCCUGAGCUGCUGCUGGGGGCUGGGCUGCAGUUGCAACGAGGGGGUGACCUGGGACAAGUGGAGACUGGGAUGUCUCAUCCUGAGCCCAUGAGAUGCUGAGCCAAGACUCACUUCCCAACUACAGCCGAGUUCAUCGGAUGGUUGCCGGCUGCUUGCCUGGCCAGGGCCCAUCAAGGAGAAGGAGGCACCUGCUUGGAACAGUUCGAUUCCUACUGACCUGAUGAACUGAAUGACAGAGGCAGGAGGGUCGGGAAGGGUUUCCGAAGUACGGCCGACCGCGGUGUUCUGUUAGCCUCCCGUGCACAGCAGGGCGAGUGGGCGGUUGCUGAACUGUUCACCGCUGUCAGGGCGCUGUCAGUGGUGCUCGCUGCUCCUGGGGUGUCGCUGGCCGCGUCCCUCUUGCGUCCGGCUCGUCUCUUCUCGUCUCUGUGGGGACUCACCACAGCCCUGCGGCUGUACCUCCUAGUCCCCUCCGCCCGUUUCUCCCACCCCCCAUCCACCUCUUCUCUGAGAAACACCUGUUUGUUCUCUGUAUCUGGGCGUAUUGUUUCUUUACGGUGUUACUUCUAAGUCAUGUCUACACCCAGCAUGGAUGGGGCGUGAACUCACAGUCCCGAGAGACGGAGUCCGUGCGGCCCCAGCUGAGUCAGCAGGCUCCCCAAGCAUACUUUUUGUUUGUUCAUUCGUCUUGUUUUAUAGAUUCUACAUAAAAGUGAAAACGUGGUA